rnacentral:rRNA from 1 species
CUGGUGUGAUGGGUUCUUACCUUCUGAAUAACCAGCAUGCCAUUCAUUUGGUGCGCUGGGGAAGCAGGACUAUUACCUUGAAAAAAUUAGAGUGCUCAAAGCAGGCUAGUGCCUGAAUACAUUAGCAUGGAAUAAUAAAAUAGGACGGCAUGGUUCUAUUUUGUUGGUUUCUAGGAUCACCGUAAUGAUUAAUAGGGAUAGUUGGGA